AGUCGAACGUGAAAGCACUUCGGUGUGAGUAGAGUGGCGGACGGGUGAGUAACGCGUGGGAAUCUACCCAGUAGUGGGGGACAACUACCGGAAACGGUAGCUAAUACCGCAUACGCCCUAUGGGGGAAAGGCUUCGGCCGCUAUUGGAUGAGCCCGCGUCAGAUUAGCUAGUUGGUAGGGUAAAGGCCUACCAAGGCAACGAUCUGUAGCUGGUCUGAGAGGACGAACAGCCACACUGGGACUGAGACACGGCCC
rnacentral:rRNA from 1 species